rnacentral:snRNA from 1 species
AUUGCUUCUUGUCCUUUUGGGUAAGAUCAGGUGUAGUAUCUGUUCUUAUCAGUUUAAUAUCUGAUAUGUUCUAAACUAUUUUAAAAAAAUUAAAAAAAUAAAAAUGCAGUUUUAGCACCU